ACGGGUGCGUAACGCGUGGGAACAUACCUUUCGGUACGGAACAACCCAGGGAAACUUGGGCUAAUACCGUAUACGUCCUAACGGAGAAAGAUUUAUCGCCGAAGGAUUGGCCCGCGUUCGAUUAGCUAGUUGGUGAGGUAAAAGCUCACCAAGGCGACGAUCGAUAGCUGUUCUGAGAGGAAGAUCAGCCACACUGGGACUGAGACACGGCCCAGACUCCUACGGGAGGCAGCAGUUGGGAAUCUUGGACAAUGGGGGAAACCCUGAUCCAGCCAUGCCGCGUGAGUGAUGAGGGCCUUCGGGUUGUAAAACUCUUUCGACGGGGACGAUAAUGACGGUACCCGUAGAAGAAGCUCCGGCUAACUUCGUGCCAGCAGCCGCGGUAAUACGAAGGGGGCUAGCGUUGUUCGGAAUUACUGGGCGUAAAGCGCGCGCAGGCGGUCUUCCAAGUCAGUGGUGAAAGCCUGGAGCUCAACUCCAGAACUGCCAUUGAAACUGUUGGACUUGAGUACGAGAGAGGUGAGUGGAAUUCCCAGUGUAGAGGUGAAAUUCGUAGA
rnacentral:rRNA from 1 species